CUAGCGCAGCAGCUUGUCGGAGCGAGGGGCACGGAGAGCGGCCGCAGUCGGCGUGGAGCCCGCGAGCUGGAGCCGCGGCCCGCACCAGACUAGGUGGCAGCACGCCCUGGACUUCUCUGCCCUGCAAGCAGUCCCCAGGCUGGACCGCAGAGAAAGAAGAAAAUGGACUCCCAGCUGCCAUCUGCAAUGUGCCAGAGUUUGUAGCCUUUUGGAGGAAGACAACAACAAGCCUGAACGGGGCAGGGAGUGGACAGGGCAGGGAGUGGAAGCUGUACCCACGGCAGCCUCUUCUGGAUCAGCUCCUCAAGCGCCACACCGGUUGCCGACUUAUAACUCUUACUGCAGACUGAGGGCCCUUGCCGGGAGUGGAAGAUAAAGACUGGCCAGGCCGAGUACAGCCUCCUGCCUGCAGGCAAAGCAGAGCUGAUGAGUGUGCCCUCCCUUCCGUCCCCAGCACAGGAUGUGUGAUUACCCACUCCAUCCAAAGGCACAUGUGGUUUAUCGCUAUUGUUUAUUAAUAAAAACACUGUCUGUGUUGGUGCAGCA